CCUACGGGUGGCAGCAGUGGGGAAUAUUGGACAAUGGGCGAAAGCCUGAUCCAGCCAUGCCGCGUGUGUGAAGAAGGCCUUCGGGUUGUAAAGCACUUUCAGUGGGGAAGAAAGCCUUGGGGCUAAUACCCUCGAGGAAGGACAUCACCCACAGAAGAAGCACCGGCUAACUCCGUGCCAGCAGCCGCGGUAAUACGGAGGGUGCGAGCGUUAAUCGGAAUUACUGAGCGUAAAGCGCGCGUAGGCGGUCUGAUAAGCCGGUUGUGAAAGCCCCGGGCUCAACCUGGGAACGGCAUCCGGAACUGGCAGGCUAGAGUGCAGGAGAGGAAGGUAGAAUUCCCGGUGUAGCGGUGAAAUGCGUAGAGAUCGGGAGGAAUACCAGUGGCGAAGGCGGCCUUCUGGACUGACACUGACGCUGAGGUGCGAAAGCGUGGGUAGCAAACAGGAUUAGAUACCCCAGUAGUC
rnacentral:rRNA from 1 species